CUAAAGCUGGACCUGGCUUGUGCCUUCGACACCAUCAGCUGGCCAUUCUUAUUCGAGGUCCUCCAACAGUACGGCUUUGGCCACCGCUUCCUGGAGUGGAUCGCCAUCCUACUCUCCUCGGCCAGCACAAAGGUGCUCAUCAAC
rnacentral:rRNA from 1 species